UCAGCAUCAGCACCAGAAUCCAGCCGGCUGGGAAGAGGACUCCGGAUCAGAACAGACAGAACCGGCCUUUAACUCCCGAGGUCCUGCGUAAAUCAUGACGAGAGAGGACCCCCCAGAUUCCCCGUCAGAGGACAGUCAGCUCCCCGCAGAGCUCCAGAGCUCCACCCCCGAGAGGCGGAGGAGACCAUUGGUGCAUCCGUCGGCCCCUGCUCCCCUCCCGAAGGACUAUGCGUUCACGUUCUUUGACCCCAAUGACGCUGCAUGCCAGGAGAUCCUGUACAACCCACAGACCACGGUACCUGAGCUCUUUGCCAUCAUCCGCCAGUGGGUCCCGCAGGUCCAACACAAGAUCGACAUCAUCGGCAGCGAGAUCCUGAAGCGCGGCUGCCAUGUGAAUGACCGGGACGGGCUGACGGACAUGACCCUGUUACACUACGCCUGCAAAGCCGGAGCCCACGGCGUGGGUGACCCGGCGGCCGCAGUCAGACUGUCCAAUCAGCUUCUCGUCCUGGGAGCCGACGUCACGCUCCGCAGCCGCUGGACCAACAUGAACGCUCUGCACUACGCGGCCUACUUCGACGUCCCGGAGCUCCUGCGCAUCCUGCUGAAGGCGUCGAAGCCCAAAGUACUGAACUCCACCUGCAGCGAUUUCAGCCACGGAACGGCUCUGCACAUCGCUGCCUCCAACCUCUGCCUGGGGGCCGUUAAAUGUCUGCUGGAGCACGGGGCCAACCCGUCCGUAAGGAACAGUAAGGGCCAAGUCCCGGCCGAGGUGGUACCUGACCCGAUGGACAUGGGUCUGGACAAGGCCGAGUCUGCCAUGAUUGCCAAGGAGCUGAAGCAGCUGCUGGAGGACGCGGUGCCCCUGAGCUGCAACCUGCCCAAAAUCACGCUGCCCAACUACGACAACAUCCCCGGGAACCUGAUGCUGGCGUCGCUGGGGCUGCACCUGGGCGACCGGGUGCUGCUGGACGGCGAGAAGGCCGGCACUGUGCGCUUCUGCGGUGCCACCGAGUUCGCCAGCGGCCAGUGGGUGGGGGUCGAGCUGGAUGAGCCUGAAGGCAAGAAUGAUGGCAGCGUGGGGGGCAUCCGCUACUUCAUCUGCCCCCCAAAACACGGGAUUUUUGCCUCCGUGUCCAAGGUCACCAAAGCUCCGGAUCCGGCCCCGUCUUCGGUCACCUCCACCCCCCGGACUCCCCGCGUGGACUUCUCCCGCGUCACCGGCAAAUCCAAGAAAGAGAAGAAAGCUUCACAGAAGAAAUCCCUGAGCGUGGGCAGCCUGGACAGGGAGGGCCUGAAUAUCGGCCUCGGGGACCAGGUUCUGGUCGCCGGCCAAAAACAGGGGAUUGUGCGCUUCUACGGCAAAACCGACUUCGCUCCUGGCUACUGGUUCGGCGUCGAGUUGGAGAAACCCAACGGAAAACACGAUGGUUCUGUCUUCGGCGUCCGAUACUUUACCUGCUCCCCAAAGCACGGCGUGUUUGCUCCUCCUUCCAGAGUCCAGAGGAUCGGGGGGCCCAAAGAGCCACAGAGCGACGGCAGCGCAGUGAAAAAGGUUCACCAAGUAACUAGUAGUAAUGCAGCCAAAGCGUAACCUGAGCACCGUGCGGACCCCCAAAGAGAUUGCAUCGGAAAACUCCGUUUCCAGGCUGCUGUUCUGCUGCUGGUUCCCUUGGCUGCUCCGCACUGAGAUGCAAUCGUAACCCCCGUAACCCCUCAAUCGUUGGGGUCACAGACUGCUCCCCUCCGUCUGUCUGCUGUCCCCCCAGUGCCUUGUGUUUCCUGGCUCUUCUGCCCUGACAGAGGGCACAUUCCGAGUGCCCCGAGUGCCCGCAGGUUGAGUGAGCGUCACCCUAGAAUCUUCCAUAGAAAGCUCCGCACUGGCUGACCA